rnacentral:rRNA from 1 species
UGGCGGCCAUAGCGCGGUGGUCCCACCUGAAUCCAUGCCGAACUCAGAAGUGAAACGCCGUAGCGCCGAUGGUAGUGUGGGGUCUCCCCAUGCGAGAGUAGGACACUGCCAGGCA